rnacentral:rRNA from 1 species
GACGAACGCUGGCGGCGUGCCUAAUACAUGCAAGUCGAGCGAAGUUUUUCUGGUGCUUGCACUAGAAAAACUUAGCGGCGAACGGGUGAGUAACACGUAAAGAACCUGCCUCAUAGACUGGGACAACUAUUGGAAACGAUAGCUAAUACCGGAUAACAGUAUUUCUCGCACGAGAGAUAUUUAAAAGUUGGUUAUGCUAACACUAUGAGAUGGCUUUGCGGUGCAUUAGCUAGUUGGUGGGGUAAAGGCCCACCAAGGCGACGAUGCAUAGCCGACCUGAGAGGGUGAUCGGCCACACUGGGACUGAGACACGGCCCAGACUCCUACGGGAGGCAGCAGUAGGGAAUCUUCCGCAAUGGGCGAAAGCCUGACGGAGCAACGCCGCGUGAGUGAAGAAGGAUUUCGGUUCGUAAAGCUCUGUUGUUAGGGAAGAAUGGAUAUGUAGUAACUAUACAUGUAAGAGACGGUACCUAACCAGAAAGCCACGGCUAACUACGUG